ACAUUAAAAAAAAUCUGGUGCUUGCAAUUAGAAUGAUACAGAGAUGAUUAGCAUGGUCUCCUCCAUAAGGAUGACACGCAAAUUUGUGAAGCAUUCCGUAUUUAA
rnacentral:snRNA from 1 species